UUCUUUAAGAUAAUUCUGGAAACAAAUGAGUUUCUUGUCAACAUCCAGGCAAACUCUUCCACAUAGACUUUGGAUAUAUUUUGGGUCGGGAUCCAAAGCCUCUUCCUCCACCAAUGAAGCUGAAUAAAGAAAUGGUAGAAGGAAUGGGGGGCACACAGAGUGAGCAGUACCAAGAGUUCCGUAAACAGUGUUACACGGCUUUCCUCCACCUGCGAAGGUAUUCUAAUCUGAUUUUGAACUUGUUUUCCUUGAUGGUUGAUGCAAACAUUCCAGAUAUUGCACUUGAACCAGAUAAAACUGUGAAAAAGGUUCAGGAUAAAUUCCGUUUAGACCUGUCGGAUGAAGAGGCUGUGCAUUACAUGCAGAGUCUGAUUGAUGAGAGUGUCCAUGCUCUUUUUGCUGCAGUGGUGGAACAGAUUCACAAGUUUGCCCAGUACUGGAGAAAAUGAAACUGGGAUUGACCCAUCAAGAUGCUUGGCUCAAUAAGAAAACCACGUUAGGAGCAACCUUUGUAUAUUGGAGACUUCAGAGUAACCAGCAAGGAAGAGAAAUCUUAAUCUUCAAGUUACCAUAUUUUCCAAAUAUUACAUGGUACCUGAGUUCUGCUUCCUUGGAUGUCAUUGCUUAAAUAUAGUCUUGAAGGGCUUGUUUUGAAAUAUUGUAUAUAUUUUUUCAAAUGUAUACAUUGUUAAUAAAUUAAGAAAUGAGAAACAUUCUUAUUUAUGUACAUGUU
rnacentral:sRNA from 1 species